rnacentral:rRNA from 2 species
UACGGAGGGUGCAAGCGUUAAUCGGAAUUACUGGGCGUAAAGCGUGCGCAGGCGGUUUGUUAAGUCUGCUGUGAAAUCCCCGAGCUCAACUUGGGAAUUGCAGUGGAUACUGGCAGGCUGGAGUACGGUAGAGGAAGGUGGAAUUCCCGGUGUAGCAGUGAAAUGCGUAGAGAUCGGGAGGAACACCAGUGGCGAAGGCGGCCUUCUGGACCAGUACUGACGCUCAUGCACGAAAGCGUGGGGAGCAAACAGG